rnacentral:miRNA from 14 species
GCUGGCAGGGCCACAGCCAGAGCCAUACUGGCAUGGCCCAGUCAUCUCCGGAGGAGUAUCUCUUUGAGCACCUCGCUCUCAGGCACGACUUAGGCCUCUGUGCCUUCC